AGAGUUUGAUCCUGGCUCAGGACGAACGCUGGCGGCGUGCCUAACACAUGCAAGUCGAGCGGGAAAGUUCCCUUCGGGGGGCGAGUACAGCGGCGCACGGGUGAGUAACACGUAGGUAACCUACCUGCGAGACUGGGAUAACCUGCCGAAAGGCGGGCUAAUACCAGAUAAGACCACGGGGGCUGCGGUCCCUGGGGUAAAAGGUGGCCUCUUCAUGAAAGCUACUACUCGCGGAUGGGCCUGCGCGCCAUUAGCUAGUUGGCGGGGUAACGGCCCACCAAGGCAAAGAUGGCUAGCUGGUCUGAGAGGAUGGCCGGCCACACUGGGACUGAGACACGGCCCAGACUCCUACGGGAGGCGGCAGUGGGGAAUAUUGCACAAUGGGCGAAAGCCUGAUGCAGCGACGCCGCGUGAGGGAUGACGGCCUUCGGGUUGUAAACCUCUUUCAGCAGGGAAGAAGCGCAAGUGACGGUACCUGCAGAAGAAGCACCGGCUAACUACGUGCCAGCAGCCGCGGUAAUUC
rnacentral:rRNA from 1 species